rnacentral:rRNA from 1 species
GAUGAACGCUGGCGGCGUGCCUAAUACAUGCAAGUCGAGCGAACAGACAGGGAGCUUUCUCCUCUGACGUUAGCGGCGGACGGGUGUGUAACACAUGGAUCACCUACCUCUAAGACUGGGAUAACUUCGAGAAACCGGAUCUAAUACCAGAUAAUAUAUUGAACCGCAUGGGUCAAUAGUUAAAGACGGUUUUGCUGUCACUUAUAGAUGGUUCCGCGCCGCAUUAGCUAGGUGGUAAGGUAACGACAUACCAAAGCAACGAUGCGUAGCCGACGUGAGAGGGUGAUCAGCCACACUAGAACUGAGACACGGUCCAGACUACUACGGGAGGCAGCAGAAGGGAAUCGUACGCAAUGGGCGGAAGCCUGACGGAGCAACGCCGCGUGAGUGAUGAAGGUCUUCGGAUCGUAAAACUCUGUUAUUAGGGAAGAACAAAUGUGUAAGUAACGAUGCACGUCUUGACGGUACCUAAUCAGAAAGCCACGGCUAACUACGUG